rnacentral:rRNA from 1 species
CACAAGCAGUGGAGUAUGUGGUUUAAUUCGACGCAACGCGAAGAACCUUACCAAGUCUUGACAUCCUUUGACGAUGCUGGAAACAGUAUUUUCCUUCGGGACACAGAGACAGGUGGUGCAUGGUUGUCGUCAGCUCGUGUCGUGAGAUGUUGGGUUAAGUCCCGCAACGAGCGCAACCCUUAUGGUCAGUUACUACGCAAGAG